rnacentral:rRNA from 1 species
AUUGAACGCUGGCGGCAGGCCUAACACAUGCAAGUCGAGCGAGCGGCGGACGGGUGAGUAAUGUCUGGGAAACUGCCUGAUGGAGGGGGAUAACUACUGGAAACGGUAGCUAAUACCGCAUACCAUCAGAUGUGCCCAGAAGGGGUUAGAUAGUAGGUGGGGUAACGGCUUACCUAGGCGACGAUCCCUAGCUGGUCUGAGAGGAUGACCAGCCACACUGGAACUGAGACACGGUCCAGACUCCUACGGGAGGCAGCAGUGGGGAAUCGUGCACAAUGGACGCAAGCCUGAUGCAGCCAUGCCGCGUGAGUGAAGAAGGUCUGCGGGUUGUAAAGCACUUGCGGCGGUGAGGCGUUAACCACCGAGGAAGUCCCGGCUAACUACGUGCCAGCAGCCGCGGUAAUAC